GACGAACGCUGGCGGCGUGCUUAACACAUGCAAGUCGAACGGAAAGGCCCUGCUUGCAGGGUACUCGAGUGGCGAACGGGUGAGUAACACGUGGGUGAUCUGCCCUGCACUUCGGGAUAAGCCUGGGAAACUGGGUCUAAUACCGGAUAGGAGCCAUUUUUAGUGUGAUGGUUGGAAAGUUUUUUCGGUGUAGGAUGAGCUCGCGGCCUACCAGGUUGUUGGUGGGGUAAUGGCCUACCAAGGCGGCGACGGGUAGGCGGCCUGGGGGGGUGGACGGCCACAUUGGGACUGGGGAACGGCCCAGACUCCUACGGGGGGCAGCAGGGGGGAAAAUUGGACAAUGGGCGCGAGCCUGAUGCAGCGACGCCGCGGGGGGGAUGACGGCCUUCGGGUUGUAAACUCCUUUCGCUAGGGACGGAGCUGUUUGUGACGGUACCUAGAUAAGAAGCACCGGCUAACUACGUG
rnacentral:rRNA from 1 species